CCCCACCCUGCCUCUCUACCAUACUUUCCAAGGAGCCCACAGUGCUUCUUUUGUGUCAGAUUCAAGUUGUUUUGGCUUUUACUACAAAAAGCAUCUUUACAUAUAUCUGCAAUUUAAUGGAUAAUUUAUUUUCCCUUUCCAUACAUCUGAAAGAAGAAACAUAAUUGGUAUGAACAGCACUUAAUUCCAGACUGACUUCUUUUGAACUGUAGAGACUGGAUUUCACCAUGUUGCCCAGGCUGGUCUCAAACUUCUGGCUUCAAACUAUCUGCCUGCCUCAGCCUCCCAAAGUGCUGGGAUUACAGGCGUGAGCACCGUGCCCUGCCUCUCUUCAAGGACUCUCUUUGCUACAUCGGCAUCACCUGGGAACGUGGUAGGGCUACAGAAUCUUGGGCCCCACCUUGGACCUACCUAAUCGUCAUCUUAUUCAUUGGUGUUCCCUUCGCCAGAGACCAGGUCGAUUGUCUUGGAGAAUGUCCCACAUUCAGCAUUUGUCUGCAUGCUUCCUUAUGGUGCCAUGCUCUUGUCCCUCUAUUCCAAGUGAGUGGAAGUUAGCUGGAGAAGUUUGACUAAAUUCAGGAUCAAGUUUUUGUGACAAGAAUAUUUCCUAGCUGGUGCUAUGUGCAUUUGCAUGGCAUCAGGAGGCAGAUGAUAUCUAGUUGGAAACAAGACUUUGGAUUUUACAAGCUAUGCUUUUGUAAGGAAAGGAACACAUUUAAAGCCUUGAGCGUGUAUUUGCAGAACCACGAGAUAACGGCAAAGAAAGUCCUUGGACACAGGCUCUGUGAGCAUCACAUCUCUCCAACUGGACCCGUGGGCGCUGCAGUGAGCAUAUAUGUCCUAAAGGGAUAUGGCACCAACCUUGUGAAUUGUUUGCUUGUGUUUUUCUAACAUUUCUACUACUUAGUUUCAAUUACAUUUUUCCUAGCAUGGAG
rnacentral:lncRNA from 1 species